GAUGAAGAACGUAGCGAAAUGCGAUAAGUAGUGUGAAUUGCAGAAUUCAGUGAAUCAUCGAAUCUUUGAACGCACAUUGCGCCCCUUGGUAUUCCAUGGGGCAUGCCUGUUCGAGCGUCAUUUGUACCCUCAAGCUUUGCUUGGUGUUGGGUGUUUGUCCCGCGUUGCGAGUGGACUCGCCUUAAAGCGAUUGGCAGCCGGCAUAUUGGCCUUGGAGCGCAGCACAUUUUGCGCUUCUAGUCAUGAAUGUUGGCGUCCAUUAAGCCUAUACAUUUGCUCUUGACCUCGGAUCAGGUAGGGAUACCCGCUGAACUUAAGCAUAUCAAUAAGCGGAGA
rnacentral:misc_RNA from 1 species